AGUUGCAGGUCGCCGGGUAAACUUAUGUUACAAAUUGAUGAUUGAGUUGAAGCUGAGAAAACGAGGCAAGCAAGCAAGGAGGAAGGCCAAUAUGGUCAGAUCACAGAUGAGCAAGAUUUACGACCAAAAAUACCUUCUACGCAAUCAUGAUACGAGUUUAAAAGAAAAAGGAAGGAUUUAAUGGAUGAUUGAAUAGGAUUUCAGAACACAAGUGUUAAAUAUAAGACAAAUUUGCUAAAUGAUUCAAGUCCAUUGCAAAACAAUACCAUCGUAUAAAUGACGGCUCGUGGUGCAGUGGACUGUACUGUAAUUUAUUGUAGUUUUUUCGGAGCCGGUUAAAUAAAUAUGCCGAGAUUACUUGGGAGAACUUUUUAUUGGCACUGGAGACAAAAAGGAAGAGAGCAUUCUUUUUAAUGUGAGCGUAAAUGUUGCUAUAGUAAAAAAAUAAAAAUAUAAUUUAGUGUUGGGAUUUCCAACAACCAUUAUUAUAAUUAUUGAACACUAUUGAUAUCACAUUUAACUAUUUGUGGGAUUGGGACAUGUAUAUUAUUUUCGACCAACAAUUCUUCAACAUAAUCAAUUAACCACUUCCACCCAAAAAUUAUUCAAAUCAAAAAUAUUAACACAAAAACCCGUCUAUAGGGUUAACUUCAUAUAUGACAACACAUAUUUGAUUUUUAUCUUCACGUUUAACAGCUCUUUGUCGCCUUUGAGUACACUUUUAAGACUUCAGUUUUAGACCAUGAGAAAGCUGAAGGGCGGUUAAGUCCUGAAAAUAAUAACACUAUUCUAGGUUAUGUUCUGCAUUAUUUGGUCAACUGUGGUGAUAAACUGAUAUAAACUUAAUUUUGACUGUAGAUUUUACCUGCAUGAAGUCUAUAUUUUAAUAAGUCUUCAGGUGUGAAGUGUUCCGAGCUUUUUUUGACCGUUUACUGGCUCGAAAAUGUUAGUGUGUGGCGUUUUCCAUAUAUUUCAAAGUUUUUUAUCUUUUGGAAAACGAUUUUUCCCAAUAUUUCGCCACCCGAAUAUGCAACAUUGUUGUAUAUUUUCACAAACGAAUGCUUACAUAAUGAAAGAACGAAAGUACUCUAAAAAUAAACGUUUUAAUCGACUUAGCAAAAGGCGGCAAAACUUUUGUUUACCUAACACAGUGCUGCACUCUGGCGGGAUAAAUGCGCAGUAAUACUCUCUCUAGCUUAGGGCAUUCGACAGACAUUGGAUGGAGAAGGACAAAGAAAGGGACACGUGGAAAGAGGGGGGCUUUUGCCCAGCAGUGGGACAUGUUAUAGUUACUGAAAAAAACAAAAAAAAAGAACGCUCCAAUGAAAACUAAGCGACCUUUCCUCGUACCCUGUCACAAUUUGGCGAAUGUGUUUUCUUAAAAAAAUCAUGGACAAAAUAAUGUAUAUGGAAGCGUUGUCUUUAAGGCUUGGUCUGUGCUGUGCUUGGUCACCACGAGCGACGUAAUAGCGACGAGUUUGCAUUGAAUUUUGGUAGGUUGAAGUGCUGUUGACUGUACAUAGGUACCUACACACGACUUCACGAAAAUAAGCAAAAAAAAAAAAGGUUGGGGUAAUUUAAUUGGGUAUGAAUAAUUUUAUAAAUGAAACAAUAUCAACGUCUAAAUGUGUUAUUAUUAAAAGAACAGUUUACAGAAAGUAGUUGUUGUAAAAUGAAAGGAAAAAAGGGCGUAAUAAAAUAAUUUUAAUUGAUUUACGAUUCGCGCAGGAAAAGUGGGUGGUAUUCAUCGACUCGAUGCCUAUGAUUCUAAUUCAGAACCUUUCAUGGCAUGGCACUAGUCCUCACACAGUCUCCUAUCACACUUAAUAGAAGUAAUAUAUAUAAAUAUAAUAUGCAUACAUAUAACACUCCGGAAUCUAUCUAAUAUCCUACACUGUUGACAAACAUAUUGGAAUAUACUGUUAUGUAACGUAAAAAAGUUAACGAUACACUUCUCAUAAAUAUUCUUGCAUAAUUCGCGCAAACAUCAUACCUGUCAGUGAUGCUCACAGACUAGACACAGAAAGUUUAUUUCGAAUUCCUGAAGUUAUUUCUGAAAACCACUUAUGUGACAAAAUUAAAUAAUACCACAUAUUAUUCAGAGCAACAAUAAAAAAAUGCAAAGUAUCAUAAAAAAAUAAGCAGAAGAUUUAAAGCAUAUUCGCGAAAUGUAUCUCUCAAAUAAAUCAAUAUCCAGUGAUACGUAUCAAUCCAUUUUUACGGUUUUGCAAUAAUUAUAUUAUUAGAUCUAUCAUCAAAUUCAUAUUACCAUUACGGGUGAGAGUCACCCGGCAAUGAUAAACUUUUAUUAUCUUUAUCAUUUUCGCCAUCUUUUAUUUAUGCUACUAAAUUGGUUUUCAAGUGAUUAUUUAUGCAUAAUUAAAUCCAGUUUAAUUUCUUAAAUCUAUGUAAUUCUGGCGUCAAUAAACAAAACACAAUUACGCCGUGUCGCAGUUUAUUGCAAAAACUCGUUUGCAAUAAAGAUCCUCAAUAUUUUGUAUGUGUAAAAUCGCAGCGACUCACAUUUACCUAAAAGAAGUCCCAUAAACAUUAUUUGCAUCUUAGGAAAAACGUCUGUGAAAUAUAGGAGUAAGAUGCAUUAGCACCGCAUUCAGGUUGGAAUGAGGGAAAAUAUGGAUAAUUCGUAGGCAUUUAUGUAGUCACUCACGAUCACGACAUUAAAGUUUUAUAACGAAUUAGAAGUUGCACGCAGUUCCGCUCGCGGUAGCCUAACCUGUGUUUGACCUCGGGUCAUUAACUAUAUCUAUUAUUAAGAUUUCCUUAAAAACGGCCCAGCGUUUUAGAUGUAAAAGCGUGACAGACAGACUUUAGCAUUUAUAAUAUUAGUAUAGAUAUGGAUAAGGGGGCAACUGUAAAUGUUAUAAAUUGGAAUUAAAGAUUACAGUAUAAGUAAUAGUUAUGUUGGACCUUGUUGGCUCUUUUGAGCAUCACAACUUCAGCAUUAACACACUAAUGAAUAGUUUUGUAGACCACAAUGCUUGUCUAUCGUAUUUCACUGAUGGUUGUAAUUCAUGAAAUCUUAAUUGUAGCAUAAUUAUGUCGAUGCCGCAUCUUAAAAACGUGAUUUUAUAAUAAGUUCCGUAAAGUUUACGGAGUUAUAAUGUUUGAAUUUACGGCAGAUAUAGCUAUAUGUAUUUCGCUUCCUUUUUCAAUAUUUUCCCGUAGCCAUUACGAGUUCCUUUAAAACAUUGUAACAUAAAAGACCUUUAAUUACAUAUGUACAAUAAAUGUAACACCGAGAACAAAGGCAUACUUGUUUAUUCAUCACAAAAACUGGCAUUCGUUAAAGUAAUAUAGAGUUCGAUAUUUAUAUUUCGUAGUAUAUAAAAAGGGAAUAGUCUUAUCAUUUUGAGACUAGGUGCGCACACGUAGUUUAUGUUACAAGUGUUAUACCGCCAGUAGUCAAGAAAUUUCUUUCGGUGUUAUUUCUUAAUUCAGAAGUAUAAUCUUUCUGGACGGCAGAGUAAGACACAAUUAUUACAUAGAGGAAUGCAUUGUGAUGAACAAAUAGCAUUAGUCACCAAUAUGGCGUCCUUCAGUCUCGAAUUAACGUUACGGAAUCUUACAAUACACCAACUCUCUUUAAGACACAUGCCUAAGUUACAAAACAUCUGUGUUCAUACAUUCAUCAUAUCAUUCAUACCUGGCCAAUCACAACCCCUUUCAAAUUACUUACAAAACAUAAUAAUAAUUUAUAAAAUUCAAAAUCCCUUGCACAUGUGCAUGCCUAAAAUAACAUACGUCAUCUUCCAUAAGAUCCUCUUUCAAACUAUCACUUAUCUCACAUAAGUAAAGAUACCACAGCCACUGUCUGUAUUUAUAAUACCAAAUAAGAAAAAAUGCUUCGACUUUUCAAGACAAUACAGAAAGAAUAUGGUCAGGCAUACUAAAUAAUUUCAAGAAUGUUGCGAUAGGUGCACGCAUUUCGCCAUAUUACACAACGCAAUACAAAAUAAUACACAAUUCUUCUUUCUUAAAAAAAAAAAACAAA